CGUGUGAAACGAAAACCGACUGAGCAGCGUUAUACAUGCCUCUUAGCUUCUGAGAAGAGGAAUAAAUAGCAAUUUGGGGAUAAUUUAGAUCAAAAUGAAUUUAAUUAGUUUAUCUACCGUUCCUUCCGAGUGAGAGGAUGUGCAACAAUUCUUGUUUUAGUAACAACAAUAUUGAAGAAAAAUUUGGCUAUUUUUGUGGCAGGCAGUAUGGAAUGGAUGAGCAUUAGAUUGAUUUAUAGCCGUUUAUUCUUACAACUAAAACAGUUUUCGAAAAAAUAGAUUUCUGAACUUAGAUUUUCUCUUCUAAUUUAUAUCUGCCCAUAAAGUUUUGGGGUUACAUGUACUGAACAUUUAAAAUGGACUUUUUCACAAAAUUAUUUUCUCCCUCGUCUCAGAAAAAAACUGAACCUAAAGCAAAGGAAAGUUUAAAACUUAGACGGCAAGCGAGGUCUGAGCUAAACGUGGAUGAAAGGUAUCAUGAAUCUGGAACUUUUUGCCGAGAAAGUCUUGUUGAUCAGAUUGAAGCUUCAGCAUGCAUCUCGUCCAGUGGACAAGAGCAAGAGUUGGUUAGUCCAGAAAGGAUAUCAAGCACUCCUGUCAUCGUUCGAACUUUGGAUUGCUGGAAUCCAGAAACCUGUGUUCGUCUUCUACGGAUGCCAAGUGUACAGAACUACUCCGGUCUUCGUAAAUUAAUAACUGAAAGUGACAAAGUGUGGAUGAUUGAAUUCCUACAAAUGGGAGGACUUGAGGUGCUGUUCGAGUCCGUGGACCGUUUGAGCAACAAAAAGGGCAAUCAAGCUAGACUGGAGCAUACCUUGCUUUUGUUGCAAUGUGUGAGCUGCUUAAAAGCAGUAACAAACUCUCACAAUGCUUUAGAAUAUGUAGUUUCUCAAAGAACUUACUCAAAGCAGUUAGCUGAAGUACUUUGCUCCGAAAAUCCAUUGGUCAAGAAGCAGUUAUUCGAAUUUAUGUCUACGUUAUGCAUCUUCUCAGAAGAAGGACAUCAUCUGACCUUAGAUACGUUGGAAUCAUAUCGAGUGACACAAAAGUUGCGCUAUAGGUUUGCAGUCUUGAUGGCCGAAAUAAAGCAGGCAGAGGUUUUGCCAUAUGUAGCCGCUGUUCUUGGAGUAAUCAACUGUGUUAUUCUUGGAGUAUGCGGAUUUCGUUUCAGGACCCGCAUAAGGAAUGAAUUCAUUGCAUUAGGUUUGCUGGAUCUAUUAGAAUCUUUAAAGCAACUCCCUGAUGAAGAUGUUCAAAUGCAAUGUUCGGUCUUUGGAAAAUCACAAAUGGCAGAUGAAGAGCACGCCCAAAGCUUAGGAAUUCGAUCAUCAUUUUCACAUUUUGCUCUUUUUCAAGCUCUAUUAGACAAGGUUGAAGAUACACCACUUUCAGCUUCCUUUCUAGUUUUACUACAGAAUCUAAACCAGCUUGAUCCCAGUGAUUCAAAAACGGAUUACGUGUGGAGUACCUUAGAAGAAAUGACAGAACAAGCUCUUAAUGGAGCUGAUUCUGUGCUCCGUAGUUGGAUGACUGCUGAAUGUCAGCGUGGCAAUUUAAGGACUCGCGCUACGCAGACUGUUAUACAGAUGUCUCAAUUAUUCCGGGUGGAAAAAAUUGCAAAUGUUCCUAAAAACUUUACAAGUGAUGAAACAGAUACAGACAGUUUAAAAUCUUUCUGCUCGAGGGAUUCUGGAAUGCCAGUUUCGAGGACACAAUCUUUCGCAAGUAGUGGCCCUCGAUCUCCAAAUAACACUUUAACUAAACAAGACUCUGUUCAUCCAGAAAUGUCUGAAAACCCAGAAGAAAUAUUGGAAAAUGAUGAAAAUGAAGGUCAAGCAAAGUCGAAUGGGUUUUUCAGGUCGUUUAGAUUUUCGUACUCAUUUUCAAGAAACUCGGUGAAGAACCAUGAUAAUGCCUCCUCAGCUGAUAAACAAACUAUCUCUUCAUCAAACGAUAUCAUAGAAAAUUCGCAACAUUUUUACUCAGAGUGUCCUCUUCAAGAAAAUGGUGAAGUGGUUGAGGAAAAUAAUAAAGCCAAAAAGUCCUUAUCUCUAUCAUUUUUUAACCGUUCUAGGAAAUAUUCAUUAGUGAAACCUGCUCCUAAAGUAACAGUGCAGCCACCCUCUCCAGAUUUAAGAAAAAAUUUUAAACAGUAUCUUAAUCCUGCCUCUGCUAGAGAGGGCAUGACAAGUACUGACCUAAAACGAUCUCGUAAGCAAUUACAGAACUCAACAGAGAGAAUUCAUAACAGUGAUAAUUCCUCCAUAUCUUCCAGUGAAAAAAUUGAAGCUACACUUUCAGAGACCAACAGUCCUUCAUUAGUGUUCCAUGAAAUAUCUUGUGAUAAAGACCGAUUAUCACGCCAAACUCAGAGAUCGGUCUCUACAUCUGAAGUAAUCAGUGAAGAACCGAAAAUUCAAAUUCAUCUGUCAAAAUCGACAUCAGAUUUAACUCAGACAGUACCUCCUCCUCCACCACCGCCUCCUCCCCCGUCUUCUCUGCUUGCAAAUCUUCAAUUCCGUCAGAAAACACCAAAUGCUUCUGGUUCCCAAAUCAGAGGGAAUCGGGCAUCGUGGUCUGGAGGUUCCUUUGAUAAAGAAUUUGAAGACCUUGAUAAGAAAACAACGUAUAAUACUCUCCCCCGACCAAAAUCCAAAAUGAAGACGUUCAAUUGGGCGAAAAUCCCCAGUGGACACGUAAGUGUGCAUUCCAUUUGGAGCGAAAUAAAUCAAGAAUCCAAAACAAUGGAAGUGAAUUUUGAAGAAGUGGAAAAAUUAUUUUGUCAAGAAGAAACUGCGAUAAAAGCUCCUAAAGUUGAAAGAAGACAGAGAGUAAGCGAAAUAUCUUUGUUGGACAGCAAAAGGAGCUUAAGUAUAUGCGUUUUCCUGAAGCAAUUCAAAGGAGGUUUGGAAGAAGUUGUGGAAUUUGUACGACAAUGUGAACACAAAAAAAUUGGCGCAGAAAAAUUGAGAACUUUGCUGCAUUUGUUGCCUGAACCUAAUGAAAUUAAGCUUCUCACAUCAUAUUCAGGAGAUUUUACGUCAUUGGGAAACGCAGAGAAAUUUUUGUUACGUUUAAAUUCGGUAGACAACUACGACUGCCGCAUAGAAGGGAUGCUUCUUUUGGAAGAACUGCCAACAACUUUGCAAAAUUUAGAAGAGUCUAUCCAGCAGCUUUUUUCUGCCUGUUCCCAACUGCUUACCAAUAAGGAAUUCAAGAACUUCCUGAAACUGAUACUAGUCACAGGAAAUUUCAUUAACAGCGGUAGUUACGCUGGAAAUGCUAUUGGCUUUCGACUUUCUACUCUCCCAAAGUUAAUGGAAGCCAGAACUAACAAGCCGAGAAUUACUCUUUUGCACUAUCUCGUUGAUGAAGCCAAACGAAAAGAUCCAGAAAGUUUGAAUUUUACAAAUGCGUUUCUGGAAAAGCUAAAGCAAUGUUCAAAACUAACUCUGGAUACGCUAUUAACUGAAAUAGCUCAACUAGACAAAACAUUAGGUAGACUCGAUUCUCGAGUGCAGAAAGAUGGAGGUCUUUUGAAGAAAAAGUUUGGUGCUGCCUUACAGAACGGAAUUAAGCGUAUAAAUGCACUAAAGAAGAAAACGGAUGAGAUAAGGAAACUUUCCAUACAAUUAGCUGAACGCUUUUGUGAAGAUGAGAAAAAAUUUAAAGUCGAGGAAUGCUUAAAUGCAGUGAAUGUUUUUUGCCUGAAAAUUAAGAUGGUGGAAUUGGAAAAUCAAGCUCGAAAAACUUCUGAAGAGAAAAAAAGGAAAGGUUCAGGAAACAAAGGAUUUGAAAUAGCAUUUCCUUUGCUUUGGGCUUUCUCGGCGCAGUUUUGAUGAAUCCACUGAUGGCAUUUCAUACACUAAAUCAUGCAUUGCACUUGAUUUCUAUGAUUCUAGGGCUUGGAAUCCGAGGAAUUGCACCCUUUGAACGACAGAAGACUGACUAAUUUGACAUUUCUUUUAACAACCAUCAACUUAUGUACAAAAUUUUAAAAACAUAUCAUCUUACAAUUUAAGGGAGUUUUUUG